CGCGGGGUAGAGCAGUUGGUAGCUCGUCGGGCUCAUAACCCGGAGGCCGCAGGUUCAAGUCCUGCCUCCGCAACCA
rnacentral:tRNA from 3 species